GUCUCCAUGGUGCAACGGAUAGCAUAAUGGUCCUCGAAACCACAGAUCCGGGAUCGAAUCCCGGUGGAGGCA
rnacentral:tRNA from 1 species